rnacentral:rRNA from 1 species
AUUGAACGCUGGCGGCAGGCUUAACACAUGCAAGUCGAGCGGGGUGAUGGUGCUUGCACUAUCACUUAGCGGCGGACGGGUGAGUAAUGCUUAGGAAUCUGCCUAUUAGUGGGGGACAACAUCUCGAAAGGGAUGCUAAUACCGCAUACGUCCUACGGGAGAAAGCAGGGGAUCACUUGUGACCUUGCGCUAAUAGAUGAGCCUAAGUCGGAUUAGCUAGUUGGUGGGGUAAAGGCCUACCAAGGCGACGAUCUGUAGCGGGUCUGAGAGGAUCGUCCGCCACAAUGGGACUGAGACACGGCCCAGACUCCUACGGGAGGCAGCAGUGGGGAAUAUUGGACAAUGGGGGGAACCCUGAUCCAGCCAUGCCGCGUGUGUGAAGAAGGCCUUAUGGUUGUAAAGCACUUUAAGCGAGGAGGAGGCUCUUUUGGUUAAUACCCAAGAUGAGUGGACGUUACUCGCAGAAUAAGCACCGGCUAACUCUGUGCCAGCAGCCGCGGUAA